rnacentral:rRNA from 1 species
UGGGGAAUCUUGGACAAUGGGCGCAAGCCUGAUCCAGCCAUGCCGCGUGUGUGAAGAAGGCCUUCGGGUUGUAAAGCACUUUCGGCCGGAACGAAAUCGCCUCCGUUAAUAGCGGGGGUGGAUGACGGUACCGGAAGAAGAAGCACCGGCUAACUACGUGCCAGCAGCCGCGGUAAUACGUAGGGUGCGAGCGUUAAUCGGAAUUACUGGGCGUAAAGGGUACGCAGGCGGUUGUGUAAGUCAGAUGUGAAAUCCCCGGGCUCAACCUGGGAAUUGCAUUUGAGACUGUCCAUCUAGAGUUGAGUAGAGGGGAGCGGAAUUUCCGGUGUAGCGGUGAAAUGCGUAGAUAUCGGAAGGAACAUCAGUUGCGAAGGCGGCUCUCUGGACUCAAACUGACGCUGAGGCACGAAAGCGUGGGUAGCGAACAGGAUUAGAUACCCCUGUAGUCCCUGAGCGGGCUGGCAAGGCGCAU